rnacentral:rRNA from 1 species
UACGGAAGGUCCGGGCGUUAUCCGGAUUUAUUGGGUUUAAAGGGAGCGUAGGCGGGAUGCUAAGCGUGCUGUGAAAUCCUGUGGCUCAACCAUGGGCGUGCAGCGCGAACUGGCUUUCUUGAGUGCUCGGGAGGCAGGCGGAAUUCGUGGUGUAGCGGUGAAAUGCUUAGAUAUCACGAGGAACCCCGAUUGCGAAGGCAGCCUGCCGUAGCGUUACUGACGCUGAAGCUCGAAGGUGCGGGUAUCGAAC